ANANUUUGAUCAUGGCUCAGAACGAACGUUGGCGGCGUGGAUUAGGCAUGCAAGUCGAACGAGAACGGUUCCUUCGGGGACUUAGUAGAGUGGCGGACGGGUGAGUAAUGCAUGGACAACCUACCCUCGAGAGGGGGACAACCAUUCGAAAGGGUGGCUAAUACCCCAUAAUGUGCUUAGACGAUGGUUUAGGUAUCAAAGAUAGCCUCUGAUUCAAGCUUUCGCUCAAGGAGGGGUUCAUGUCCUAUUAGCUAGUUGGUGAGGUAACGGCUCACCAAGGCGGCGAUGGGUAGCCGGCCUGAGAGGGCGACCGGUCACACUGGGACUGAGACACUGCCCAGACUCCUACGGGAGGCUGCAGUCGAGAAUCUUCCGCAAUGCGCGCAAGCGUGACGGAGCGACGCCGCGUGGGCGAUGAAGGCCUUCGGGUUGUAAAGUCCUGUUAUUUGCUAAGAAUGCCGGGUGGUGAAUAGCCAUCCCGGUUGACGUCAGCAGAAGAGGAAGCACCGGCUAAAUACGUGCCAGCAGCCGCGGUAAUACGUAUGGUGCAAACGUUGUUCGGAUUUACUGGGCAUAAAGAGCUCGUAGGCGGUUUGGUCAGUCUGUCUGUGAAAUCCCUCGGCUUAACCGAGGAACUGCAGUGGAUACUGCUGAACUAGAGUGCAGGAGGGGAGAGUGGAAUUCCUGGUGGAGCGGUGAAAUGCGUAGAUAUCAGGAGGAACGCCGGUGGCGAAAGCGACUCUCUGGCCUGCAACUGACGCUGAGGAGCGAAAGCCAGGGGAGCGAACGGGAUUAGAUACCCCGGUAGUCCUGGCCCUAAACG
rnacentral:rRNA from 1 species